rnacentral:sRNA from 1 species
AGAAGCCAGAGGGGACGUGGGGAGUGCCACCCUGGAGCCUACGGGCACACCUGCUGAGAUGGAGGCCUCAGAUGGGCAAGGGGGUGAAGGGGACAAGCCACUAGAGAAGGUGACAAAUGUGUCAUGCCUGGAGACAAGCUCCAGCGCCAGCCCUGCCAGAGACUCGCUCAUGCGCCAUGCCAAGGGCCUGGAUCAGGACACCUUCAAAAUUUGUAAAGAAUACCUAAGACCGCUGAAGAAGUUCCUGCGAAAGUUGCACCUUCCCAGGGACCUUCCCCAGAAGAAGAAGCUGAAGUACAUGAAGCAGAGCCUUGUGGUCCUAGGGGACCACAUCAACACCUUUCUGCAGCAUUACUGCCGAGCCUGGGAAAUCAAACACUGGAGAAAGUAGGGCAGUCUCUUUGCUCUGCUCCCCAUACCUACUCCUGGGCAACCCCCUCUUCAUUCAAGGGGACACCU